AUGCGCUGCCGUAGCCUUGUCUUCUGAAGAAUAUUACCGGCUUCGAACUUGCGUCACGAUCACACCAAAGCCCAGUUGCUUUUGAUCUUGCCACCAGAAUGACACUAAGAAGAUACUCUUCAGAUAUCAUAUAACCUAAUAUUUAAUUCUUAGCUCUAACAUAUGAAGAAAAUCAAAUCUUAGGACACUCAAGCAAUACUUACUGAAAAUCUCACCACCCUUGUAGCAAAUUUUGCCAC
rnacentral:lncRNA from 1 species